AAAGUCGUAACAAGGUCUCCGUUGGUGAACCAGCGGAGGGAUCAUUAUCGAGUUAUUCAACUCCCAAACCCUAUGUGAACUUACCACUUGUUGCUUCGGCGCGCGCUUCGGCGCCGCCGAGGACACUUAAACUCUUUGUUUUUAUAAGCAUUUCUGAGUGGCCGAAAGGCAAAAAUACAAAUGAAUCAAAACUUUCAACAACGGAUCUCUUGGUUCUGGCAUCGAUGAAGAACGCAGCGAAAUGCGAUAAGUAAUGUGAAUUGCAGAAUUCAGUGAAUCAUCGAAUCUUUGAACGCACAUUGCGCCCGCCAGCAUUCUGGCGGGCAUGCCUGUUCGAGCGUCAUUUCAACCCUCGAGCCCGACUCUUUUGAGGACGGCUCGGCGUUGGGGGACGGCAGACUCCCCCCGGCAUCUCGCCGGGGACGCCGCCCCCGAAAUCUAGUGGCGGCCCUCCGAGGCGACCUCUGCGUAGUAACUUGUUCUCGCACCGGAAAGCUCAGAGCGGCCACGCCGUAAAACCCCAACUUUUUUCAGGUUGACCUCGAAUCAGGUAGGACUACCCGCUGAACU
rnacentral:rRNA from 1 species